rnacentral:rRNA from 1 species
CUCGCCUGCAUGAAGUUGGAAUUGCUAGUAAUCGCGAAUCAGAAUGUCGCGGUGAANACGUUCCCGGGCCUUGUACACACCGCCCGUCACACCAUGGGAGUCGGUAACACCCAAAGUUGGUAGUCUAACCGCAAGGAGGACGCCGCCUAAGGUGGGAUUGAUGACUGGGGUGAAGUCGUAACAAGGUAAC